rnacentral:rRNA from 1 species
GACGAACCGAGCGAACGUUGUUCGGAAUCACUGGGCUUAAAGCGUGUGUAGGCGGACUUGUAAGUAUCUUGUGAAAUCCCACGGCUCAACCGUGGAACUGCUUGGUAUACUGCUUGUCUUGAGCCACUUAGGGGCUACCGGAACAAAUGGUGGAGCGGUGAAAUGCGUAGAUAUCAUGUGGAACGCCAAUGGUGAAAACAGGUAGCUGGGAGUGUGCUGACGCUGAGACACGAAAGCCAGGGGAGCGAACGGG